rnacentral:rRNA from 1 species
UACGUAGGGGGCAAGCGUUGUCCGGAAUUAUUGGGCGUAAAGAGCGUGUAGGCGGCUGGGUAGGUCCGUUGUGAAAACUCGAGGCUCAACCUCGAGACGCCGAUGGAAACCCUCCAGCUAGAGUCCGGAAGAGGAGAGUGGAAUUCCUGGUGUAGCGGUGAAAUACGCAGAUAUCAGGAAGAACACCCGUGGCUAAGGCGGCUCUCUAGUACGGUACUGACGCUGAGACGCGAAAGCGUGGGGAGCGAACAGG